rnacentral:sRNA from 1 species
CUUUAAAAAUCUGGAUCAAGCUGAAAAUUGAAACGACACACUGUUUAAGUGUGUUCGAGUCUCUCAAAUUUUUUUCGCGACACGAUGAUGUUUUACGAAACAUCUUCGG